CAACACCCUUCACCUGUCAGUCAACCUCUGCGCUAAACAGCGGACAUAGACAAGCAUGAGAACUUCACGGAUCUUCUUCAGUGUGUCCGAUAUCAACAUGCAGGGACACUUAUGAGAAGCACAGACAUCUAAAGCUCAGGUUAAUACAGAAAACAACAGAAGUCUCAGGCAUGCUCAGUCACACUCCGAAUAAGAGACCAUGUCAAAGACAUCAGAUGCGGAGAAAGAUUUCUAUUUCUAUCCCCGGCUGGUGGAAGAAUCUGGACGUUUUUCUGCUCUGCUAAAAAUCUCAGCGGUGCUUCAAACCUGACCCAGAUAAGCUGUCUGCACAGCAGCAGAGUGCUCAGAUGGAGGAGAGAGGUGUGGGGGGAAACCCCGUCUCUAUGACUACAGAUGUCUGCAUCAGCUGCGGGCUAACCUGGCGUACUGGCCCAUUAGUCCAAUCGGCCGCAGAGGGAAGAGAUCAGCAGGGGGCAGUCAGCAUGCAUAAAAAAGCCACAGAAUGAGAGUCGGUCACAACGGAUGCAGUUAUUACAGCUGGACGAAGCACAACAGAAUGCAGGGACCUGGAGGUGAGAUUUUCAAAGUUUCAACUACUUUUAGCUUAACACAGCAUAUUAAAUACUCUGCGUUUAUGAUGCUGAAAACCAGUGAGAUGCUCCAAAAGCAGCCAUCUAACGCACAUGUACUUAAAACCGACAAUUAAAAAUUGUGCAGAUGGAACGCAAAAUGCAUCCUGUGAGAACCUGGACAGAUUGGCAAACUCGACUGCAAAAUGGAUUGCUGUCAACUAUAGGCUUGUUAAAUGAUAUGGGAACAAUAUAAUGACUACUAAAGCCACUUUUUGUAUUGUCUAAUCAAUAGCCCCUUUCUCACAUACAGCCUUUUCCAGAAAAUUACCUGCAAAUUUCAGGUUAGAGGUCAUGUGUGAAGCUCCGUAAACUUUUUGAAAAUUCUGGUACAUUUUGAAUGUGACACAAGGACACCAUUUUAAGAGCUGGCAUAAAUGUAGAUGAACCAGAAUUUUUUUAAAGCAGGCAGUUUGAAAGGAUUCAUGAAAAUGAAUCGAACACUUUCGAACAAUUCAUUACGAUCGCAAAACUCUGGCCUGUUAAUAGUUCCAAGAAUAUCAAAAUCCACAAAAGGAGGUAGAUCCUUAUCUUAUUUGGCUCCUAAACUAUGGAAUAGUCUCCCUAACUCUGUUUGGGACGCAGACACACUCAUUGAGUUUAAAUCUAGACUAAAGACUCAUCUAUUUAUGCAGUCAUACACCUAAUUUAUUCUUCACCUCAAAAUCAGCUGCUUUAGUUAGGUCUGCCGGAACCUGAAACAUUGAUCAUGAUCUAUAACUCUGCAAAAAAUUGAAUGGCAUCUACGCUAAUAUUAUUCUAUUUGUUUCCAUGCCUCAACCUCGGGACUCUAUUCCUGCUUGGUAUCGGACUCCACUGCUACGUGUCUCUGAGUGAUGAUGACUAAAUGCAGCCGGUGUCAGCCAGACAUCACUUCAGUCUAUUAUGAUGGACCUCAGAGGAUGAACUGAUGCCAAAUCCAACCAUAAGACAUGGGACACUUCCAUUGCCUGAACCUUGGACUUAGGAUAGACCUUACCGAAAUUACCGGCCAGUUGAACAGUGAAGCACCUCACUGAUCUCGGCCUGCAUCACUUCAGUCUAAUGAUGGACUAUACUUUUAAAAUGGAAUGCAUAGACUAUCAAUAAAUUGCCAACAAAAGCCUUCAUCAACAAACUAACAAAGGACAAUGCAUCAAUAUGAAUUUCUGCAGUUAAUCCAGGAUGAACUUCAAAGACAUUAGUCAUUAAACUUACACUUCUUACAAAAUCAUUGUUUAAACACUGGCCCUUAACACUUACUUAGUUUAAUCAUUUUAAACCAUGACUUGCACUGCACAUAAAUAAGUAAUAUUGGCAUUAUAUUCAUAGUUAGCCAGAGGGGAACUGGCCCCCACAGUGAGCUUGGUUUCUCCCAAGGUUAUUUUUCUCCAUUAACCAACAUCUUAUGGAGUUUUGUGUUCCUUGCCACAGUCGCCUUCGGCUUGCUCACUGGGGUUAUAAAUACAAUUAUGAUUUAAUUACUUAUUUUUAUACAUACUUCAUAAUCGUAUUUAAUCAGACUACACAAUGAUGACUCUAAGACUUUAUAGAUAUUACAGUUUCAUUUUCUGUUAAUGCAUGAUUUUGUGUAAAGCUGCUUUGAAACGAUGUGUUGUGAAAGGCACUAAACGA